UUGAACCGGAGUCCGAAGACUCAAUCCAUUAAUUGAUUAAGAAGAAGAGAAUUUGCCCAGUUAAUUAAACGGAAAACCGGGCGAAAACCUUUACAACCGUGCAUGGCGCAAUCAAAAAGACCGCACACAUACACGCUGGCCGACCUGGCCACCCACACUCACUCCACGCGCUACAAAAAGAAAGUUGCCGUCGAAGUUGUACGCGGAAGUCAUCGUCAUCACACAAACAUUUCUCCUGAGCUGGCAACUCCGACUCCCCCCACCAACGCCCAAGAAUGGGUCCCAACUCCUGUAGACGCCCAAGUUCGCGUCUGCCCAUGCCAAACAGUCGACCACCCAUGCUAGUGACCAAGAGGCGCGAUUCUGAUGGCGAGCUUCAAAGGAGCAUAUGCAAAGAUUGCACCGAACAAGACCCACACAGACCGGACCACCCAUCACCAAGUCCUCG
rnacentral:lncRNA from 1 species